AGUAUUGUUAUUGUUGUUAGGGCUUCUUUGUCUUCUGAACAAACGUUAUUCAGCUAAUAAAACAGUAAAUUUUACGUCCAAUGCCUUAAUGGAGAUUAAAAUGUUUGCCUUUUUCUCAAGGAAAUAAGCUAAUCAGUAUCACUGCCAUUACGUGCCAUGCAAAUUCCACGGCCACGUUUGCUGACUUCCGAACGCUCUCCCCUUCUUCUUCGUAUCCACGUGCAGUGCAGACCUUCGUUCAUCGGGUAAGCAAGCAUUGGAUUCUUUCGAUCUCCUCCUCCCCCUCUUUAACGCGUUGAGCGCAUCGUAUCGAUAGGUAUGUGAGCAGAGAAACGAGGAGAUCAGCCUUGGAAGGAAGAUGAGCAGCCUUCUUGCCCGUGGAUGCCGAUCCUCCACCUUGAAGUCGACGACGUCCGCUGCGCUGCCUGCUUUGGGCGACUACGGACGCGGUCGCAGGUACUGCGCGGAGAAGAAGGAUGAACCGCAAAGAGUGGUGGAGAAGGCGACGUCGACGGCCGAAGAGUUCCUGCGGCAAGCCAGGGAGAAGUCCGAAGCAGUCGGCGAGAGCGCCAGGGAAGUCGUGGAGGACGCCAAGGAAGCAGUUCUCGGCGAGUCAGAGGAGAGGAAGCAGCAGAAGGUGGAGAAGGGAAACUACGAUAAGAUCGUGAGGGACUAAUCGGGAUGUGUGAACAGUGCUUGUUCGAGGUGGCACGUCCAUCCAAAUAAAACCGCGCUGCAUCUCAUGGUUUCAUCUGAUGUUUGGGUGCCCGGAAAUAUUAUUACACUUGUUUUUAUUGAAUAUAAUGGAUAGUAUUAAAUCGGAUA